GGGGCUGAUUCUGGAUUCGACGGGAUUUGCGAAACCCAAGGUGCAUGCCGAGGGGCGGUUGGCCUCGUAAAAAGCCGCAAAAAAUAGUCGCAAACGACGAAAACUACGCUUUAGCAGCUUAAUAACCUGCUUAGAGCCCUCUCUCCCUAGCCUCCGCUCUUAGGACGGGGAUCAAGAGAGGUCAAACCCAAAAGAGAUCGCGUGGAAGCCCUGCCUGGGGUUGAAGCGUUAAAACUUAAUCAGGCUAGUUUGUUAGUGGUGUGUCCGUCCGCAGCUGGCAAGCGAAUGUAAAGACUGACUAAGCAUGUAGUACCGAGGACGUAGGAAUUUCGGACGCGGGUUCAACUCCCGCCAGCUCCACCA
rnacentral:tmRNA from 1 species